rnacentral:miRNA from 1 species
AGCCCCCAGUGUCGCCGGCC